UGGGGAAUAUUGCACAAUGGGCGCAAGCCUGAUGCAGCGACGCCGCGUGAGGGAUGACGGCCUUCGGGUUGUAAACCUCUUUCAGCAGGGGAGAAGCGAAAGUGACGGUACCUGCAGAAGAAGCGCCGGCUAACUACGUGCCAGCAGCCGCGGUAAUACGUAGGGCGCGAGCGUUGUCCGGAAUUAUUGGGCGUAAAGAGCUUGUAGGCGGUUUGUCGCGUCUGCUGUGAAAGCCCGGGGCUUAACCCCGGGUUUGCAGUGGGUACGGGCAGACUAGAGUGCAGUAGGGGAGACUGGAAUUCCUGGUGUAGCGGUGAAAUGCGCAGAUAUCAGGAGGAACACCAAUGGCG
rnacentral:rRNA from 1 species